rnacentral:lncRNA from 1 species
GGGUGUGUGUAUGUGUGUGUGUGUGUUUAACUGAGAGUACUGAGAUGAUUUACUACCUAGGGUUGUCAUGAAGAUGAAGCAAGCUUGGAUGUUCUGUUCUGCAGUUACCUAAUAUCUCGCAAUGAGAAAGGUUCGCAUCCAGCGAUGGAGGA